AAUAACAUGGUUUAUGUGCUCGUUCUGGGUAAAUAGAGUUUCUAGCAUUUAUGUUAGUUACUUGUUCCCCGGAUAGUUUAGUUACGUAGCCAAUUGUGGAACUUUCUUGCUAAAAUUUUUAAGAAUACUAAUUGGGUUAAACCAAUUAGUUCUUAUUAAUUAUAACGAUUAUCAAUUAACAAUCAAUUCAGAACUGGCACGGACUUGGGGAAUCCGACUGUCUAAUUAAAACAAAGCAUUGUGAUGGCCCUAGCGGUGUUGACACAAUGUGAUUUCUGCCCAGUGCUCUGAAUGUCAAAGUGAAGAAAUUCAAGUAAGCGCGGGUCAACGGCGGGAGUAACUAUGACUCUCUUAAGGUAGCCAAAUGCCUCGUCAUCUAAUUAGUGACGCGCAUGAAUGGAUUAACGAGAUUCCUACUGUCCCUAUCUACUAUCUAGCGAAACCACAGCCAAGGGAAUGGGCUUGGAAUAAUUAGCGGGGAAAGAAGACCCUUUUGAGCUUGACUCUAAUCUGGCAGUGUAAGGAGACAUAAGAGGUGUAGAAUAAGUGGGAGAUAUUAGACCUCGGUUUGGUAUCGCCAAUGAAAUACUUACUUACUUGAUUAAAUGGAACGUGUAUCAUUUCCUAGCCAUUAUACGGAUAUAUUUAUUAUAUCUUAUGGUAUUGGGUUUUGAUGCAAGCUUCUUGAUCAAAGUAUCACGAGUUUGUUAUAUAAUCGCAAACAAAUUCUUUAAUAAAACGGUGCAUUUAUGUAUUUUUGAUUUGAAAAUUUGGUAUAACUCCAAUUACUCAGGUAUGAUCCAAUUCAAGGACAUUGCCAGGUAGGGAGUUUGACUGGGGGCGGUACAUCUCUCAAAUAAUAACGGAGGUGUCCCAAGGCCAGCUCAGUGCGGACAGAAACCACACAUAGAGCAAAAGGGCAAAUGCUGACUUGAUCUCGGUGUUCAGUACACACAGGGACAGCAAAAGCUCGGCCUAUCGAUCCUUUUGGUUUAAAGAGUUUUUAACAAGAGGUGCCAGAAAAGUUACCAUAGGGAUAACUGGCUUGUGGCGGCCAAACGUUCAUAGCGACGUCGCGUUUUUGAUCCUUCGAUGUCGGUCUCUUCCUAUCAUUGU
rnacentral:rRNA from 1 species